rnacentral:rRNA from 1 species
UUGAUAUUUAUUUAUAUUUUUUUUUAUUGUUAUUUUAAAUAAUUAAAGUUUUAUUAUUAUUAUUAUUUUUAGUAUAUAUAUUGGAAGAAAUUGUAUUUAUAAUAGUUUAUUUUUACUGUAUAGGAUUAUUUGUUAUUAUUUUUGAAGUAAAAUUUUAUUUUGUACCUUUUGUAUCAGGGUAGAUCAAUUAAUUUUAAUUAUUUAUUUUUCUCGAAUUGAUUUGAUCUAAAUAUUAAUGAUUUUUGUUGUAUUAUAAUUAUUUUUUAUUAUUAUUUAGUUGUGAAAUGUUAUUCGUAAAUCAAGAUAUCUAGUUUUCUUAGAAUUGAAUUUAAUUCAGUUAUAUUUAUUUAUUUAUUGUAAUUUUAUUAUUAUUAAUAUUUAUAUAUAGUAAAAUUAUAGGGGUUUAUCUCUUUAAUUAUUUAAAACUAUUAUUUUAAAAAGAUAUGUAGGAUUUAUAUUUUCUUUCAUUUUUAGUAUUUUAUAAUUUAUCUUUUUUGGUUAUUGAUUUAUUUUUGUUUAAUUAUUUAUUUGAAUGAGUUAUUUAUUAUUAAAUUAGGUGUAAUAAUGAUUUAAUUAGUAUAUUUUUUUUAUUAUAUUUAAAGUAUUUCAAUUUAUUUAAAGGAACUAGGCAAAAUUGAAAUUUAAAAAUUUAUAUUUGUUCGCCUGUUUAUCAAAAACAUCUUCUCUUGAUUUAAUUUGAGAUAGGGCCUGCCCAAUGAUUUAUUUAAUGGCCGCGGUAUUUUGACCGUGCAAAGGUAGCAUAAUCAUUAGUUCAAUAAUUGUGAACUUGUAUGAAUGGUAUGACGAAACAUUAUCUGUCUCUAUUUAAUAUUUAAAAUUUAAAUUUUGAGUUAAAAUGCUUAAAUUAUUUUAUUGGACGAGAAGACCCUAUAGAUCUUUAUUUUAAUACUUAUUUAUUUUAUUUAGUUUAUUUAUUAUAAAUGAUUUUUAUAAUUUUGUUGGGGUGACAUGGAGAUAAAUAUAACUCAUUAUUUUAAAUUACAUUAAUUUAUGAUUAAUUGACCUUAUUUUAUUGUUAGAAGAUUAAGAUACCUUAGGGAUAACAGCGUAAUUUCUUUAGAGAGUUCAUAUUGACAAAGAAGAUUGCGACCUCGAUGUUGGAUUAAGAUAAUGUUUUGGUGCAGGAGCUAAAAUAAUAGGUCUGUUCGACCUUUAAAAUCUUACAUGAUCUGAGUUCAAACCGGCGUAAGCCAGGUUGGUUUCUAUCCAUAAUUUUAUAUAUUAUAUUAGUACGAAAGGACCCUAUAAUACAAAUAUUUUGUUUAAAAAUUU